UUGUUGGUUUCGGUCGCAAAAAAGAGAAAGGACAUUAAACAAAUCCAUUUGUCGGAGUGAAAUAGCAAAACUGAUUCCCUUACGAAACAGUCACCACGCCCGCGCUUCUUACUUUGCGAAGGUAAACUAUUGUAUUUUGGUCAUAGAAAAAUGAUUUUGGUAAACUAGGUGCUAGGUUAUGUUCAUGAUCGUUCGACUUGAGAAACGAGUGUUCUUCAGUGUUUAAGUGAUAUAAUCCUUAGUAUUUUGUGGAUGAGUUGAUUCCCAAACAUACUAUUGUUGAAAUUGUUGGACCUGGUCAAUAUUUUCAUUUAGGAUUAGAAAAUGGUAUUAAAAAACUUUUAUUAAAAUUCCCAAAUUGUCCGAAUAAUAUUGAGAUAAAUGUUAAUAUUGACGGCUUACCCAUUACCCAUUUCUAUGACGAAUGUAACACCAAGCAGCAGUACAAUAUAUAAUGUUGCCCAAAAUGGAGAUAAAGGAAAUUGUACUUGUUGCCCAAGUCAUCAUUAUGUUGAUUAUCUCAAGCAAAUACUAAACCAACAAACUUUCAUUAAAAGUUUAAUGACUGAUAUUUUGGCAGAAAUUACUUCAAAAAAUUCCAGAGUAACUGAAAUAGCAGAUCCAAAUGAAUCAGUUUUAAAUAAAUUUAAUCUACCUAUAAAAGAAGAUGAUGACUGAAUUACUAAACCGAUACUUAGAAAAUGAGAACUUUGCAAAAGCUGCAACCGAAUUCUGCAAGAUUGGAGGCAAAGAUAAUUAUGAUUUUGUUAAAAGAUGUAUGGCAAUAUUAUUAACAAAUGAAUAUGCACAGCAAUAAAGCUUAGGUAGAAGACAGAAAAAAGUUUUUGCAAUAAUAUGGUAUCAAAGUUAGAAAUCGAUGCUGCACAUAGAGCAGGAAGGGCUAGACUCUUACGAAUCAGAAACAUCGCUAAGAAAUUGGCUACGAAGGGCCCGGGACCGAAUAAAAUAAAUAUAUGAGUAAUAGGAAGAUGUGUUAUAAAUAGGUAUAUAACUUAAACAAAUAUAAAAUAAAAUACA